CGAUGACGGUAUUCUGUAAAAAAAAACAUCUUAUUUGCAUUCCGAUUCUGACACCCAAAGGCAAAAGAAGACAUGUUUUGUCUUAUGCAGUGGGUCACAUCCAUUUUCCUCCACUUGUUACCACUGUUUUUCUGCCACUUGUGACUUCUGCUUUGAAAUGGUCUAUAUUCAUAUCUGCGUCCAUGGUAUUUCACUAUUUUGUCAUACUAUUAAAACAGCUGUUGCUCAAUUGAUUAUAAAUAAUUUAGAAUCAUUCAGUACAUUUCUGCUUGAAAAUAAGACUUGACUCACAUCUUACUUUUGUUCCAAAUACAAAACUGGCAUUUGACUCAACAAGCUUGACCACAGAGGAAGUGUUUUUCAACACUAUUUUAAGCUGUGCAUAUCUGCAAAAAGCAUGUAACAAGAACUCAUUGUUGCUGCUGACUGAUGCUGUUUUAUUUUGAGAAGACAUGAGAGCAAACGGGACAUUUGACUAUUUUGAGGAAUGGCCUCGCUACUUCUUGUUCUGCGUCUGGGUCAUCGACAUCGCCCUGAUAUUUACUGUUUAUCACUUGGAAACACGUUUGAAACAAAAGAUUGAAAAUUACAUUAAGGGCAGAUGUCAAGAAGAGGACUACGUCAACAAUGCAAGCGAAUUUAUAUGCGAGCAAGCCAGUUGAAGCAGUAAUCGGACAAUUAAUGUUAAAUUGCUUGGCAGUUCGAAGAAACAACUGGCAUCUUUUAAUGGACUGUCUUAAUAUAGACCUACUUCAUUAAAUGAAUUUUGUUCACUCCAUUUAACUGUAUAUUUUGUGCAGCAAUCAGCAGUAAAUUUUGAAUAAUAGGUACAGCUUGAUAAUAUUAUGUUCAUAUUCACAUGUUUCUGAUGAACAAUACUUUUUAAAAAUGUCUAAAAUAAAUCUGAAAAGAUAAUGUGCCUAUGUAGUAUAUAACGUUUUUUCCUUGUUACCAAAAAUCUGAGUUUCAGGUGGGUCAGGAAAUCAUUAUUAAAAAAACCCUUAUGUUAUAAAUGGUUACAAUAAAUAAUAAAGCAUUUUAAUUUCGAAACAAGCACAAGAAGACUCAGAAUGCUCCAGUUUCGCAACAUUUGUUUCACUGGUAUAAAAUGUAAAAUAAUAAUAAGGGCUGCAAAAACUAAUCGAUAAAAAUCGU